rnacentral:lncRNA from 8 species
AUGUAUAAUGUCGGGUUCUGGUCGGGUAGCAGAGCUCUAACAUACACACCUCUGACUGUGAUCCUUGCUACAUCAUGGCUGUUAUGUUUGAUGAUAAAUUAUAUUUUGUUUUCUCCAACUUUGUCUCUAUCUCUCUCUCUCUCCUCUCAAUCGCUCUCUCCUCUCAAUUGCUCUCUCUCUCUCCUCUCUAUCCUCUCAAUCUCUCUCUCUCUCUCUCUCCUCUCAAUCUCUCUCUGUGUCUCUCUCAGUGCCAGCGUCCGGAUGGCCUCCAAGACAUUUGAACCCAGUAGCUUGGACCAAACUGAGGAGCAGGACAAAGCAUCACCUUUCCAAAGGAAUUCCAAACAGAGGGUGUCAUCCCGUUCCAUCCAGGAGAAGAUGGAGAGACUGGCCCAUGCAGCUCAGAAGUCUGAGUCUCUGCGUUCUCCAGACAUUGCCCAUAGGACCCUGUUCCUGCUGGAUGAGGUUUCGAAGAAGAGAUGCCUGUUUGAAAAGGAUCAGGCAGCAGCUCCGUGCAGCCCUGGGGUCCUCAGACAGGAACCUCGCAGAUUCGCGUCUGGAAUCUCCGACCGCAUCAACCGCUGGGUCAGCAAGACCAACAGACCUGGCGGCUCUGCCCACAAACCCAUGGAUCUGCAUCAUGUUGAUAUCCCCAGUAAGCGGAGUGCGUUUGAGAGUGCAGGGGAGGACAGCUCUCCUAACCCAAACCCCCACACCAAGGUCGAUAAGUGAAGAAGGACUCAAUGUAAACUGUAAUUUUACAGUUCAAAAGUGCAUAAAGACUGAGGUAGGGAGAAAGAAAGAUGUGGGGAGGAAGAGAGGAAAGGGAGGUGAUUAUUUCAACACUUUUAAAGGUGACUGACCCCAACCUGAUUCAGGGAAUUUUGGGAUUGUAAUUGUAAUAGGGUGAAUCUUUCUGUACUGCCAUAAAAUGACUCUACUAGCUAUGCCAAUGCUCUCUUAACCUUAAUCUGUCUCAAACCUAACCCUAAUCCUACCAUAUUAAAUCCCAUAACCCCUGACCCCUAACCCCUAAACAUAACUCCUAAGAAUGUGUCUAACCUUUAACCCUAAAUAAAACAUUUUAUAUCAACACUUUAUCUUCCUGGUCUUUAUAUUUAUUUAUUUAACCUUUAUUUAACUAGGCAAGUCAGUAAAGAAAACAUUUGUAUUUACAAUGAUGGCCUACCAAAAAGGCUAAAGUGGGCGGGGGAUUAAAAUACAUUUAAUAAAAAUAUAGGACAAAACACACAUCACAAUUAGAGAGACAACACAACACUACAUAAAGAGAGACCUAAGACAACGUAGCAUGGCAGCAACACAUGACAACACAGCAUGGUAGCAACACCACAUAACAACAACAUGGUAGCAGCACAAAACAGGGUCCAAACAUUAUUGUGCACAGACAACAGCACAAAGGGCAAGAAGGUAGAGACAACAAUACAUCACGCAAAGCAGCCACAACUGUCAGUAAGAGUGUCCAUGAUUGAGUCUUUGAAUGAAGAGAUGGAGAUUAAACUGUCCAGUUUGAGUGUUUGUUGCAGCUCGUUCCAGUCGUUAGCUGCAGCAAACUGAAAAGAGAAGCGACCCAGGGAUGUGUUCGCUUUGGGGACCUUUAACAGAAUGUGACUGGCAGAACAGAUGUUGUAUGUGGAGGAGGGCUGCAGUAGAUCUCUCAGAUAGGGGGGAGUGAGGCCUAAGAGGGUUUUAUAAAUAAGCAUCAACCAGUGGGUCUUGUGACGGGUAUACAGAGAUGACCAGUUUACAGAGGAGUAUAGAGUGCAGUGAUUUGGUGGCAAAUCUGAUGGCCAAAUGGUAAAGAACAUCUAGCCGCUCGAGAGCACCCUGACCUGCCGAUCUAUAAAUUAUGUCUCCGUAAACUAGCAUGGGUAGGAUGGUCAUCUGAAUCAGGGUUAGUUUGGCAGCUGGGGUGAAAGAGGAGCGAUUACGAUAGAGGAAACCAAGUCUAUAGUUAACUUUAGCCUGCAGCUUUGAUAUGUGAUGAGAGAAGGACAGUGUACCGUCUAGCCGUACUCCCAAGUACUUGUAUGAGGUGACUACCUCCAGCUCUAAACCCUCAGAGGUAGUAAUCACACCUGUGGGGAGAGGGGCAUUCUUCUUACCAAACCACAUGACCUUUGUUUCGGAGGUGUUCAGAACAAGGUUAAGGGCAGAGAAAGCUUGUUGGACACUAAGAAAGCUUUGUGGUAGAGUGCUUAACACAAAAUCCGGAGAGGGGCUAGCUGAGUAUAAGACUAUCAUCCGCAUAUAAAUGGAUGAGAGAGCUUCCUACUGCCUAAGCUGUGUUGAUGUAAAUUGAGAAGAGUGUGGGGCCUAGGAUUGAGCCUUGGGGUACUCCCUUGGUGACAGGCAGUGGCUGAAACAGGAGAUGUUCUGACUUUAUACACUGCACUCUUUGAGAGAGGUAGUUCGCAAACCAGGCCAAAGACCCUUCAGAGACACCAAUACGCCUUAGCCGGCCCACAAGAAUGGAAUGGUCUACCGUAUCAAAAGCUUUGGCCAAGUCAAUAAAAAUAGCAGAACAACAUUGCUUAGAAUCAAGGGUGAUGGUGACAUCAUUGAGGACCUUUUAAGGUUGCAGUGACACAUCCAUAACCUGAGCGGAAACCAGAUUGCAGACCAGAGAGAAUACUAUAGACAUCAAGAAAGCCAGUCAGUUGAUUAUUGACAAGUUUUUCCAACACAUUUGAUAAACAGGGCAAAAUAGAAAUAGGCCUAUAACAGUUAGGAUCAGCUUGAUCUCCCCCUUUAAAUAAAGGAUGAACCGUGGCUGCCUUCCAAGCAAUGGGAACCUCCCCAGAGAGGAGAGACAGGUUAAACAGGUCAGAGAUAGGGCUUGGCGAUGACAGGGGCAGUAACCUUAAAGAAGAAAGGGUCUAACCCAUCUGACCGAGAGUUUAAGGAGCUCCUUUAGCACCUCGGACUCAGUGACCUUCUGCAGGGAGAAACUUUGUAGCUGGGCAGGGGGAAAAGAGGGAGGAGCAUUCGGGCUAGUAGCAUUAGAAGAGGUGGGAGAUGAAGAAAUGUUGGACGGGCAAGAAGGCAUGGCUGAGUCAAAUAGGAAUCCUGACAAUGAAGUGGUGAUUAAAGAGCUCAGCCAUGUGCUUCUUGUCAGUAACAACCACAUCAUCAACAUUAAGAGUCUACUUUACUGUCAGAACGUGCAACUAGAGUCAGGUGCAGGAGAGCAGAGAUGAGUGAACAGGCACACUUUAAUUGGCAGAAGCAAAAGUCCGACGCAACAGCGUCACAAUACUCCAGCCAAAGGCAAAAGUGAAAUAGCGCACUGAUCACAAUAAAUACAGAUCAACAAUACAAUACCAUGGGUUGAAACAAUACCAGGAAAAACCCAGCCUGACGUGUCAUACAAUACAUGUAACGAACAAUUACACACACAGCCAUGGGGGGGGAACAGAGGAUAAUAUACACGUAGAUGAUGAGGGAAUGUAAACCAGGUGUGCGGGAAAACAAGACAAAUGAAAUGGAAAAUGAAAGGUGGAGCGUUGAUGGCUAGAAGCCUGGUGAUGUCGACCACCGAGCUCCGCCCGAACAAGGAGAGGAACCGACUUCGGCGGAAGUCAUGACAUUUACUGAACAAAACCAAUACGUAUAAUUAAACCCAACAGAAACCAAAUCUAAACCACUAACUAAACCCAACAGAACCAAACCUAAACCACUAACUAAACCCAACAGAUACCAAAUCUAAACCACUAACUAAACCCAACAGAAACCAAAUCUAAACCCCUAACUAAACCCAACAGAACCAAACCUAAACCACUAACUAAACCCAACAGAUACCAAAUCUAAACCCCUAACUAAACCCAACAGAAACCAAAUCUAAACCACUAAUUAAACCCAACAGAAACCAAAUCUAAACCACUAACUAAACACAACAGAAACCAAAUCUAAACCACUAACUAAACCCAACAGAAACCAAAUCUAAACCACUAACUAAACCCAACAGAAACCAAAUCUAAACCCCUAACUAAACCCAACAGAUACCAAAUCUAAACCCCUAACUAAACCCAACAGAAACCAAAUCUAAACCACUAAUUAAACCCAACAGAAACCAAAUCUAAACCCCUAACUAAACACAACAGAAACCAAAUCUAAACCCCUAACUAAACCCAACAGAAACCAAAUCUAAACCACUAAUUAAACCCAACAGAAACCAAAUCUAAACCACUAACUAAACACAACAGAAACCAAACUGAAACUCCU